UAAAAAUCCUCUCCUUUUAGGGAAAAUCUUUGAAAAGUAUUAGCCAAUAAGUCUAUGUUUUCUCAUUUUUCCUUCAAGACCUUCCUUGGGAACAGAAAGAGAUGCCUUUGCUCUACCAAAGACUGUGUCCUAGAAGAGCAUGCUGGAGAUGCAUCAGGUCGAAUAUGAGCAUUACAACUGCCCGUGGAUACCUGUAUCACACCAAUACUGUCAGCAGUCACAGCGCAAUAUUGUGAUUUCGCCCCGAUUACGCACCCAAUUUUAUUUCAAUGGCCAAACAUAAAAUGUGAGGGCGCUAGGCCGGCGUGAAUGCGGGAAAUUUAUGAGGUUGGAUGUGGAUGUGCAUAAACAGAAUCAUCCGCUUUGGAAAAGCAAAGGAACGUCCCUUACUGUCUUAGCUGAAAAUCAGUGCUGUUAAGAAAAUACCCUCUGGAGCAAAAAGGCAAGGAUUUGAAUUUUGAUUUUUCUUUUAAUAGUUUUUUUUUUUGAUAGCGAAGAAUAUACUUACCCUUCCUAUGCCCAUUUCCUCAUAUGUAAAACAGAAAUGCUUACCUUCUUUGAUUGUUCUGAGAACUAAAUGAACGAAUAUGAGACCAGGGAGAAGCA
rnacentral:lncRNA from 12 species